GGGUUAGUAAAGGUUUCGACAGGGAUUUUGAAGCUGGAGAAGCUAUCCGAAGGACGGUUGCGUUAAACCUCAAAUUAAAAUUAAACGCUAACGAUAAUUUAGCACUCGCUGCCUAAGUGCGGCGCGUCGGCUCUGAUGCACCUACACACCAGAUAACCGGCGUCAAACUUUGUAGGAAACGACAUGGAAGAUGCCUCGAUUCCAUGGACGUAUCAGGGGCUACUGAUUAUCUGCAGUUGCCAGUUACCGCAGGUAUGAGGGAACAGGAAUGCAGAAUUCCGAAAUAACCGGCUAUGAUAGUAGAAGGACAGGGGAUGAAUUUUUGGACGCGGGUUCGACUCCCGCCUAAUCCAUCA
rnacentral:tmRNA from 1 species